GGGAGGGAGGGGGGGAAGGGGGCGGGGCCUGCGCGUCGCGGCCGUGGGGCGGGAAAGGGUUAAAACAAAAUGGCCGCCGUGCUGCCACGGGGGGGUGGGAAAGGGUUAAACAAAAUGGCGGCCGUGCUGCCACGGGGGGGCGCGCAAGGGUUAAACAAAAUGGCGGCCGCGGGUGCUAAAUGUGGGGAAGGGCCAUCGGGAAGGAGAGGGUGGAGGAAAGAUGUUUGAGGUGUUUUAGGUUUUUUUCCUGUCAGUUUUCAUGGGAAAAGGAAAAUUUGUGGCCACGCAGCUAGAAGUGCUGGCUGCGAUGUCGUGAAGCACUAUCGAUUGGUGGAAUGAAACAGGCAAACGACGCGGGCCCCUGCCUAAGAAAAAUGUUAAAAACAUUUCGGGAGAAUUAUUAUCAACAUCUGAGGCUGUCCCAAAGGAAGGUGAAGAGAUGCAGCUUGCCUGGAUGUGAGCAAGGUUGCUGACAGGGCAGUACCUCUCUGGGAGGUCUCAAAUACAAAUCAUUAAAUAACCCAUCUGCAGAUCUCUAGGAAAUAAAGAAGUAAGAGAAAGCAUCCAGAAGGCUUUAUCGAGAUGGGUAUUCCCAAACCAGUGUGAUUUCUCACUAUGACACUGCGAGUGGUCCAAUUUAUAUGAUACAGCUUGAUCUUUGUAAGGCUUUUGACACCAACCCACAGGGCAGUCUCAUAAGCAAACCUGUUAAGUACACAAGGAUUUCAGAAAUCAAUCUUGCAAACAAUGGAAAAUUACAACAUCGUUGUGGAAAAUAUACUAUUUUAAGCCUUUCAGAAGGCUUCAUCUCCAAACAGUGGAUAUUAAAAGACUGUAGGAAAACACUGAAGAGUAUUUUCUAAGUGGAUGAUCCAAUAUAUCAAGAUUUUGGGAUUCUUGAAGUGUGUAGUAUGCAUCUGAGAGUUUGGAACUGUUUUUGUUUUUGUUUUUCAGUCUAUGGUGGCAAGGUCUGAAUUAUCACAAAUAAACAUGUAAUUGUCGUAUAGGAAAAAAUGUGU
rnacentral:lncRNA from 1 species